UACUGCGUCAUAUAUAGAAUAUUUCCGUUCAAUAAGACGUAAACGAGCCAUUUUCCACCAAUGUUACCUGUAUUCCACGACGCAUUUGUGUGCAGGUCAGCCAUGUAUAGGAGCAGUACAAGUCGGGGUCUGACCAUAAGGAUGACGUAAGCUACAAGUUGGUACAAGUUCUGGAUGAGAGUUUUCUGCUCCGAGAGAGCGCUGCUGAAUGAUGAUACCGGGCUGGGACGGGUGACCGAGUUCUGUUUGGUGAGCUGACUCAGCAUCUCCAGCAUCCGGUUUUUCUCUUUCUGCCAUAAAAAGAGGGAAAUUAUCUUAGUAUCCUCUAAAUAUUACCUGAGCAGGGCAGAUAUCUGAGCCUUUAGAGUUUUGGCUUCAGCAGACAGACAUUUGUUCCUGGCUUUGGAGGCUUCCAGCUCUUUCUUCAUUUGAUCGUGUUCGUUCUGGAGGGCUUCAUAGCUGGCUGAGAUCCUCUAAAGCGGUGUUAAAACAUAUUGGCAGCAUCAUGUCUUCAUUAGAAGGAAGCUGGUCUUCCACAUUCAGCUCACUUGACAGAGAGGACUGUAGCUUCAACUGCUGCUCGAGGUCACGCACCUGUAACACACUGAUUGCUUCAUUUGACCUUAUUUCGGUUUAUUCAUAGCUCCUAUAUAUUUUUUUUAUGCGCACACUUGAUUAGGUAAUUAAAUUAUCUACAUAAAAUCACAUUUUUAGCACUUUUCUCAGUCAAUGCUAAAAAUAGUACAUCACAUAAUUAUAGUGACAUGUGGCAGUCACACCAGAAAAGGCCUUUAUGCCUAUGGAUUUUUUUUCUAAUUUAAAGGCCUACUGAAAUGAUUUUUUUUUAUUUAAACGGGAAUAGCAGAUCCAUUCUAUGUGUCAUACUUGAUCAUUUCGCGAUAUUGCCAUAUUUUUGCUGAAAGGAUUUAGUAGAGAAAAUCGACGAUAAAGUUCGCAACUUUUGCUCGCUGAUAAAAAAACCUUGCCCCUACCGGAAGUAGCGUGACGUCACAAGCGGUAGUGCUGCUCACAAUUCCCCGUUGUUUACAUGGAGCGAGAGAUAUUAGGAGCGAGAAAGUGACGAUUACCCCAUUAAUUUGAGCGAGGAUGACGAUUCGUGGAUGAGUCACGUUAGAGUGAAGAACUAGAGGCAGUACCGGACGUAUCUUUUUUCGCUCUGACCGUAACUUAUGUACAAGCUGGCUCAUUGGAUUCCACACUCUCUCCUUUUUCUAUUAUGGAUCACGGAUUUGUAUUUUAAACCACCUCGGAUACUAUAUCCUCUUGAAAAUGAGAGUCGAGCACGCGAAAUGGACAUUCAGAGUGACUUUUAUCUCCACAACAAUACAUCGAUGACACACUUAGCUACUGAGCUAACGUGAUAGCAUCUGUCUCAAAUGCAGAUAGAAACAAAAUAAAUAAAUCCCUGACUGGAAGGAUAGACAGAAGAUCAACAAUACUACUAUCAGGAGACACCGAACCAAACACUGGACAUGUAAAUACACGGUUAAUAUGUAUUCGACGCCUGUCGAAGCCUAGCAAUGCUGUUGCUAACGACGCUAACUUAACAACGGGACCUCGUCAGAGCUAUGAUAAAAACAUUAGCGCUCCACCUACGCCAGCCAGCCCUCCUCCGCUCAUCAACACCCGUGCUCACCUGCGUUCCAGCGUUUGACGAUGCGGUCGGCGGCCCGGAGACGUAGGAAGUCAAGGUGAGUUCGCCGCUAGUGCGUCUGCUAUCCAAUUCAAAGUCCUCCUUGUUGUGUUGCUACAGCCAGCCGCAUACACCGAUCCCACCUACAACGUUCUUCUUUGCAACCUCCAUUGCAAAAGAUUCACCAACACAGAUGUCCAGAAUACUGUGGAAUUUUGUCGAAGAAAACAGAGCUCUGUGUAUUGUGUCCAAUAUGGUCCAAACACUUCCGUGGAUCUCUCGACGUCACGCGCAUACGUCAUCCUCCAAAGGCGUUUUGAACCGGAAGUUUAGCGGGAAAUUUAAAAUUGCACUUUAUAAGUUAACCCGGCCGUAUUGGCAUGUGUUGCAAUGUUAAGAUUUCAUCAUUGAUAUAUAAACUAUCAGACUGCGUGGUCGGUAGUAGUGGGUUUCAGUAGGCCUUUAAGUUUUUAUGCUGUAAUCACAGUCAAUACAGGUUGUUGCUUAAGAUAACAAGAAGACACAGGAAGUCAUUCCCUUUCAUAAAUCAUCAAUCAAAUAUUUAAAUACGUAUUUGGAUGUGAAGUACACGCACUAUAUAUCCUCAAUGAAAAUGUAAUUUGU